UUCAUAUGACGUCACAGCAUGCGUCAUAAUUACUUCCGCAUGGCAAAAUGGCUACUUUGCCAUUCAUUUCUACAGCGCUAUAAACUCUUCUUGAAGGCUUCCUUAACUAUGAGCAUGGCUAAUUCAUGCUACUCUUUCAUUUUCCUGGACUCAGGGAUGUAAGGGAAGCAAAAAGUCCUCGGAUAGAGAACCAGUGAAGCGGCCAAAGUGAACACAGCAUUGCCUUGUUACUCCUGUAAUUAUUGCUAUCGCCACUUUUCUGCUUACUACCGCUAGAAUUGUACUCCUUUUCUGCCUUGUGCUGUGUAAAAGAAGUCAUAGAAGAAGCAACUUUACUACUGUAAACGAACGAGGCUCAUUAAUUUUUGCCAUACGGAAGUAAUUAUGACGUCAAAAAGUGACGUCACUGCAACCGCUUUAUGGUGGAAAAGCAAUGGAAGGACUACACAAGCUCUUCUCCAAGUCUCCAACUGUAUUAAUUUGAAUUUUAUUUACUAUCGAUGAUGAACAGAUAGGUCUUGGGAGUUCAUGACUGUUCUUUGUGACGGUUCGGGUUAAACAUAGUUUUGUUGACAGAAUCUUCGCCGCCUCACGCGGCCCAUGUUAUUAUCGAAAUGGAAGUGUCUAGAGCUCCGGUAACCGGACACGAAACCGAGUAUAAAUACAACAACCAGCGUUGAUGAUGCAGCAAGGUCGUGGUGGUGCAGUGGAGAGGCUGGUGUGGAUUGCACGGAUAUGGUCAGGGGUUCGAAUCCGGUCAGGACUACCGAGUAAAACUAUGCUGCAGUUUUUGA